UGGGGAAUUUUGCACAAUGGGGGAAACCCUGAUGCAGCGACGCCGCGUGAUUUAGAAGGCCUUUUGGUUGUAAAAAUCUUUUCUAUGGGAAGAAAAUGACAGUACCAUAGGAAUAAGGACCGGCUAAUUACGUGCCAGCAGCCGCGGUAAUACGUAAGGUCCGAGCGUUGUCCGGAAUCAUUGGGCGUAAAGGGUACGUAGGCGGGUAAGAAAGUUAGAAGUGAAAUCCUAUAGCUCAACUAUAGUAAGCUUUUAAAACUGCUCAUCUUGAGGUAUGGAAGGGAAAGUGGAAUUCCUGGUGUAGCGGUGAAAUGCGCAGAUAUUAGGAGGAAUACCGGUGGCGAAGGCGACAUUCUGGCCAUAACCUGACGCUGAGGUACGAAAGCGUGGGUAGCAAACAGG
rnacentral:rRNA from 1 species